rnacentral:tRNA from 1 species
GGAUUGUGGCUCAGCGGUAGAGCACUCUCCUAACAUGCAUGAGGCACUGGGUUUGAUCCUCAGCACCA